rnacentral:lncRNA from 10 species
UCCUCGGCCCCGGGGCGGAGCGGGCCAGGUGUGGGAAAUGAACAGGGCUGGGCGCUAGAUACCUGCGUGGGGUAGGACCCGCGAGGAAGAGGGUCUGGCCUUUCAGUUCCAUAGAUAUAGUGAGCACCUGCCAUCACAGGAUCUGGGCACGCCAUGGAACAGAAGGACAAAAAGACAACAUCUCUGCCCUCCCCUGAAUACUGGGGAGACUGAGGCACUGUGAUGGAUAAUAUUGUCAGCUCGAUUGAUAUGAACGAAUGCAAAGUAUUGUUCCUGGGUGUGUCUGUGAGGGUGUUGCCAAGGAGAUUAACAGUGGACUGGGAGAGGCGGACCAGCCCUCAGUCUGGGUGGGCACCAUCUCAUCAGCUGCCAGCAUGGCUAGAAUAAAAGCAGGCAGAAGUUGGAAGGACUUGACUGGCUGAGUCUCCUGGCCUUCACCUUUCUCCCGUGCUAGAUGCUUCCUACCCUCGAACAUCGGACUCCAGGUUCUUCAGCUUUUGGACUCUUAGACCUAUAAAAGUGGUUUGUCAGGGGAUCUCUGGCCUUCGGCCACAGACUGAAGGCUGCACUGUUGGCUUCC